rnacentral:lncRNA from 1 species
AAAUUUUCUAAUGCCAUUGAGAAGGCUGGUUUUGGUCAAUCGCAUUCAGAUUACUCCUUAUUUGUGAAGACUAAAGGUCCAUCCACAACUAUGGUGCUUAUCUAUGUAGAUGACAUAGUGAUAACGAGCAAGGAUAAUGCAGCUAUACAAAGUCUGAAACAUUGUCUACACAAACGAUUUCAUAUCAAGGAUCUAGGCCCUCUAAAAAAAUUUCUUGGGUUGGAAGUUACAAGAUCUAAAGCAGGUAUUGUUAUCUCUCAAAGAAAAUACACUUUAGAGAUUAUAAAUGAUGUUGGUUACUUGGGUGCUCAGCCUUCAAAUUUCCCAACGGAAGUGAACCUAAAGCUUACGAAUGAUCAAGGUGACUUGCUACAUCAUCCAGAGCGCUAUAGGAGAUUAAUUGGACAGCUAAUCUAUCUUACAAUCACAAGGCCAGACAUUGCAUACUCAGUCAACAUUCUAAGUCAAUUUAUGCAUGCUCCAAGAAAGCCUCAUUGGGAUGCUACUCUUCACACAAUAAAUACCUUAAAGGUAGUCCAGGUUUGGGCCUAUUGUUUUCAUCAAGCAAUUCCUUCAACUUGAAGGCUUAUUGCGAUACAAAUUGGGCAAAAUGUCCUAAGGCUAGAAGAUCGACCACAGGUUAUUGUGUAUUCUUGGGAAAUUCACUGAUUUCAUGGAAAGCAAAGAAACAGAAAACAGUCUCAAGAUCAUCAUCAGAAGCUGAAUACAUGUCCAUGGCAGCCGCAACUUGUGAACUAACAUGGCUCAGAUUUUUGCUAAAUGACAUGCAGAUUUUGAUCGGACCAGCAAAAUUGCUGUAUGAUAAUCAAGCUACACUUCACAUAGCAGCAAAUCCGGUAUAUCAUGAACGCACCAAGCACAUAGAACUUGACUAUCAUGUUGUAAGAGAAAAAAUACAAAAUGGUCAGAUUCUCACAGAAUUUGUGCCGUCAUACUUGCAGUUGGCAAAAGUAUUUACAAAAGCUCUUGGAGGAAAUGCAUUUAAGGAACUCAAAAGCAAGUUGAACAUGUUGGAUAUACAUGCUUCAACUUAAGGGGGAGUGUUAAGAUUUGCAAAGAUUACAAAAGAUUACAGCAACUUAAAUUUGGAAAUAAUUCUACUGU